rnacentral:rRNA from 1 species
GACGAACGCUGGCGGCGUGCCUAAUACAUGCAAGUCGAACGCAUUUUCUUUCACCGUAGCUUGCUACACCGACAGAAAAUGAGUGGCGAACGGGUGAGUAACACGUGGGUAACCUGCCCAUCAGCGGGGGAUAACACUUGGAAACAGGUGCUAAUACCGCAUAAUUCCAUUUACUGCAUGGUAGAUGGAUGAAAGGCGCUUUUGCGUCACUGAUGGAUGGACCCGCGGUGCAUUAGCUAGUUGGUGGGGUAACGGCCUACCAAGGCUGCGAUGCAUAGCCGACCUGAGAGGGUGAUCGGCCACACUGGGACUGAGAAACGGCCCAGACUCCUACGGGAGGCAGCAGUAGGGAAUCUUCGGCAAUGGACGCAAGUCUGACCGAGCAACGCCGCGUGAGUGAAGAAGGUUUUCGGAUCGUAAAACUCUGUUGUUAGAAAAGAACAAGGAUGAGAGUGGAAAGUUCAUCCCUUGACGGUAUCUAACCAGAAAGCCACGGCUAACUACG